GCCGGGCGCGGUGGCGCGCGCCUGUAGUCCCCGCUACUCCGGAGGCGGAGGCAGGAGGAUCGCUUGAGCCCAGGAGUUCUGGGCUGUAGUGCGCUAUGCCGAUCGGGUGUCCGCACUAAGUUUGGCAUCAAUAUGGUGACCUCCCGGGAGCGGGGGACCCCCAGGUUGCCUAAGGAGGGGUGAACGGGCCCAGGUCGGAAACGGAGCAGGUCAGAAUAUGUUUUCACUCAUUUUUAUUGGCGUGUGCAGAUAUUCCUUAGAAUACCUGAUUUCCAUAAGAAGGAAA
rnacentral:SRP_RNA from 1 species